rnacentral:rRNA from 1 species
AUGCCGCGCAAGGCCUCCUGCACGCCAGAUUCGCGCACCAAAUGGCGGAAACGGAAGCGAAACUCCGACGCCCUUCCCUUGCCGUCAGCCGCGGCCGACCACUCGGACGACUCCGACUCCGCUGCCGACAAUGAUGACGACGACACGGCCGUUCCAUCGCCCGCGGUCGACAAUGCCGACGACGAAAUACUGGCCGGUGCCGCGGCCAGGGACCCCGUGCCCGACCUCCGUGAGGCAGAGCUGCUCUCCUCGGCCGAGGUCAUCUCCGCCUUCCCUGCCGCCACCCGCCGCACAGUCAACCGGCCGCAUCCGUCGGUCAUGGCCGUCGUUGCAGCUGAGCGAUCUGCGUAUGUGGGUGAUGUCUCCGCCGCCGCGCCACCGGUAUUGGAGAACAUCUCGCAUGGGCAGCUCCAGGUGCUCUCCGUGGCGCUCCCUGACCACCCGUCCCUUUCGACGGAUCCUGACAAGCCGUCUUCUUACGUCUGCACGCCACCUCCCCUUACGGAGGGGCAUGGCGUGCACAAGCAGUUCCAGGGCCGCCUCCAUGUCGUGCCCAAGCACUCAGAUUGGUUCUCUCCUGGGGCGGUGCACAGGCUGGAAAGGCAGGUUGUUCCACACUUCUUCACAGGGAAAUCUCCAGGGCACACUCCGGAGAAGUUCAUAAUGUUAAGGAAUAAAAUUAUUGCCAAAUAUUUGGAGAACCCUGGCAAGAGGCUUGCGUUUGCGGAGUGCCAGGGGUUUGUUGUUAACACAGGUGAACUAUAUGAUUUGAGUAGGAUCGUUCGGUUCUUGGACACCUGGGGAAUCAUCAAUUACCUCGCGGUUGGGUUGGUGCACCGGGGUCUGAGGGUGGCAGCAUCACUUCUAAUAGAGGAACCAGCAGGGGAGUUGCAACUGUUGACUGCACCGCUGAAAUCCAUUGAUGGUUUAGUUUUGUUUGAUCGGCCUAAAUGUAGUCUCCAAGCAGACGACAUUUCUUCACUGGCUUCAUCUUCAUCGAAUUCGGAGGUGGUGGAUUUUGAUGCCGGUGCUGAGUUUACUGAAUUGGAAGGGAAGAUUAGAGAGCGUCUAUCAGAGAGCUAUUGCAGUUACUGCUCACAGUCUUUGCGCAGUUUGCAUUAUCAGUUGCAGAAAGAGGCAGAUAUUGCUAUUUGCUCUGAUUGCUUCCAUGAUGCAAGAUAUGUUAUCGGGCAUUCAUGCUUAGAUUUUCAGAGAGUCGAUGGGGCUAAAGAUGGAUCAGAAAAUGAGGGGGAUAACUGGACUGAUCAAGAAACAUUAUUGAUGUUGGAGGGCAUAGAAAAGCACAAAGACAACUGGAAUAGCAUCGCAGAUCAUGUUGGAACAAAGUCAAAGGCACAGUGUAUUUACCAUUUUAUUCGUCUUCCAGUGGAGGAUAGUUUGUUAGAGAACAUUGAGGUACCAGAUGCAUCCAUGCCAUUUAGACCGCAAAGCAAUGGAUAUCCACAUUCAGAUUCCAAUGGCAGUACUUCAGGAAAUCUGCCUCAAAGUAUUCAACAUGGAAACGAACUUCCGUUCAUCAGUUCUUCUAAUCCAGUCAUGUCUCUGGUUGCAUUCUUGGCCUCUGCAAUUGGACCAAGAAUUGCAGCAUCGUGUGCAAGUGCAGCAUUAUCUGCGUUGACAAGAGAUGAUGAUCCGAGGGUCCAUGGUGCGCAUCCAAACUUUUGUGGCCAUAAUGGUGCUUCAUCGUCCAUUUCUCUAGAAAAUGUGAAGCAUGCCACCCUGUGCGGUUUGUCAGCAGCGGCAAUUAAGUCUAAACUCUUUGCGGAUCAGGAGGAACGUGAAAUCCAAAGACUAGUUGCUACCGUCAUAAAUCAUCAGUUGAAGAGGCUGGAGUUAAAGCUGAAGCAGUUUGCUGAAGUCGAGACCUUGGUUUUGAAGGAAUGCGAGCAAGUGGAGAGAGCCAAGCAGAGGAUUUCAGCUGGCCGUAUCCAGGCGAUGCGAGCCUGCUCAAAUCCCCCGGAAACUAGUCUGCCCACCAGUGGUGGUAGCACUAUGUCACCCAAUCCAACGAAUAUAAGCCCUAGACCGUUGGCCAUGCCACGCUCCAUGGCUGAAGCCACGGUACCAGCGGCAUACGCUAAUUACAUGCAGGGGCAGGGGCAUCCACAAAUGCCGUUCGUGCAGCGGCGGCCACAGAUGCUCUCGUUUGGGCCUCGCUUACCGUUUACGGCUAUCCAGACUCAGCCAGUUGCACAGGCGCCGAACAUUAUGUUCAGCUCUGGUGCAAUGCCGGGUUCGGUAACUCCAAAUCACCAUCCUCAUCUGUUGAGGUCAUCGUCUUCAGGAAACACUACUCUAGGAUAG